CGGCAUACUAAGUUUUCAUGGCUUUCUGACCCAUUGAGAAGACAAUGGCUGGUAAAUAUACGUCGGGAUCAUUUCACGAUUACCUCUCACACCAGGGUCUGCAGCAGACACUUUGCCAGUGAUCAACUCAUAGAGCCAACAACCCUUGAUGGUCGAAGGCGGCUUAUUAAAGGUGCUGUACCAACACUUUUUGAGUGGAAUGGCUAUAAAGUUGAACCACCGCGGCGUAGUGUUUGGGAGAGAACGGAGCGACGCCCUGAACUAGUUCCUGCUGACGAUCAAGAAGAGCACAGUCUUACAAGAGAUCAUGACUACUGCUCAGUCCCUGAGCCGUCUGCAUUGGACAUAUCUGCAUCAGCUGCAGAAGACCUGUCCAAAGACGUGGAGACUCUGAGGAAGGAAAUACAGGAGUUACGUGUCCAGCAAGAAUUUGGGUUACAGCGUUUUGCUGGCUCUGACACUGACAUCCGAUUCUACACCAGAUUUCCAAGCUAUGAUCAUUUGAUGGCAUUUUGGUUUUUGAUUGAGCCUUGCAUCUAUAAAAUGAUCCGGGUUUCAAGAGCCAAGUCAGCUGCCAAUAGGAACGAAGAAGUGUUGACACCUGCACGCACAUCAACGGUAGGUUAUGGGUUUGUUGGUAUUUAGAACUAGAGGUGUAAUGUUAUUGUAUUUAUGUACAAUAACAUUACAUAAUGUACAAUAGCAUACUAGACUCAGUAUCCUUUACAUACAUACACCUGUGUACUACAGCACCUCAUUGUUUACCCCAUGGUACAGUAUGGUAUGCAUAACCAUUACAAAACAUUUAGCCAAGAAAAGCAUAAUUUUACUAGUUCAUAGCUUAAGGAGUAACAUUUUCCCUUUUGUUUUCACCUUCCAGAGGCAGCUGCUACAGCCAAUUGACGAGUUCUUUCUUUUCUUGGUUUUCCUGUCAGUUGGUUUGAAGGAGAGGGACCUGGCACACCGAUUUAACAUACAUCAGUCCACAGUGAGCCACAUUAUUGCAACAUGGACAAAUUUUCUUGCGACUGCACU
rnacentral:lncRNA from 1 species